UUAAUUUUCUACAAACAGAUUUUGGGCAGUGAGGCAUGUCACACGCUGUCAUUCAUGUUGUCGUGCUGCUUCUGUUAACCCUCAGAGGACAUUUCAGGUACCUGUUUGGGACUCCAGAGACAGUUUUGUAAAUCUGUAUUCAUUGGAAUUCUUGUUUAUUGCUGGAUGGAGCAGUAUUAUUUAUUUAUUAUCAUUUACUGAGCAUGAUGAUCAAGGAGGUGAAUGGUUGAUCCAUGGAAUAUAGAAAAUAGACAAUAUUUCAGCUUUAAGGAAAACAACCUGACAGAAAUAUAUGGAUUCAUCAACACAUCUGAAGUCUCUAGUGAUUGACAGAUUUGGAGAAGAGACGUGGGACAAACUCAGGUAUCAUCGGAGCUGUAGCCAGAGACUUCUUCAACAUCAAGUCAUCUGAUGAGGUAAAACUUUAAGUGCAUUUGAGCCUGCGUAUCCAGAUAACCUGUGCAUCUAUCUGAAGACAUUUUGCAAUGCCUUCUUUUUUCCAUGUUGUGUUUGAUGAAGAAGUAAGGGGUGAUU